rnacentral:rRNA from 1 species
UACAUAGGUGGCAAGCGUUAUCCGGAUUCACUGGGUGUAAAGGGAGCGUAGACGGCGACGCAAGUCUGGAGUGAAAGCCCGGGGCCCAACCCCGGGACUGCUCUGGAAACUGCGGCGCUGGAGUACGGGAGGGGCAGGCGGAAUUCCUGGUGUAGCGGUGAAAUGCGUAGAUAUCAGGAGGAACACCGGCGGCGAAGGCGGCCUGCUGGACCGUGACUGACGUUGAGGCUCGAGAGCGUGGGGAGCAAACAGG